rfam:Picea glauca, whole genome shotgun sequence.
AUGUACAUUCCUACAACAUAGUGUUAAUGCAUCGAAUCCCAUUAGAACUCCACAGUUAAGCACGCUCAGGCUAGAGUAGUACUGGGAUGGGUGACUGCCUGGGAAGUACUAGUAUUUUACAUG